rnacentral:misc_RNA from 1 species
UAAAAAGAUCGCAGCCUUCGGCAGCUCCUACAGGGUUAUGUGAACACCUGUAGGCGCUGCCGGAGGCUGCGAUCUUUUGU